GACGAACGCUGGCGGCGUGCUUAACACAUGCAAGUCGAACGGAAAAGCCCUGCUUUUGUGGGGUGCUCGAGUGCGAACGGGGGAGUAACACGUGAGUAACCUGCCCUUGACUUUGGGAUAACUUCAGGAAACUGGGGCUAAUACCGGAUAGGAGCUCCUGCUGCAUGGGGGGGGUUGGAAAGUUUCGGCGGUUGGGGAUGGACUCGCGGCUUAUCAGCUUGUUGGUGGGGUAGUGGCUUACCAAGGCUUUGACGGGUAGCCGGCCUGAGAGGGUGACCGGCCACAUUGGGACUGAGAUACGGCCCAGACUCCUACGGGAGGCAGCAGUGGGGAAUAUUGCACAAUGGGCGGAAGCCUGAUGCAGCAACGCCGCGUGCGGGAUGACGGCCUUCGGGUUGUAAACCGCUUUCGCCUGUGACGAAGCGUGAGUGACGGUAAUGGGUAAAGAAGCACCGGCUAACUACGUG
rnacentral:rRNA from 1 species